GCUUCCUUCCCGCCCCUCCGCCGCGCUCUUCUUCCUUCCUUCUCCAGUCCCUUCCACUGUGCGUCUUCUGUCCCCCGUUCUUCCCCAGCGGACCCCUCUUUCGAGACUCCCUAGUGGGGUCCCCAGCUCCCGGGCGAUCCUGCCCUUGCCGAGCGCGUUUUCUGGAGUCACCUGGGGGAGGGGAGUCCUGGGCAGGGCCGGGCUGGGGAAGACGCCUGGGGCACUGCCCGGCGUUAACAAAGGGAGCCGAUACCGACCGGCGUGGGCGCGGAGCGGGCGGCCGCCACCGAGCGUGCUGAGCAACCGCAGCCUCCGCGGCCGAGAGUGCAGCGAGAAUAAAUACCUUACGUACACUUUAGAUGAUCAGGAAAUCUGGCACCUGGAAAAGAACUGCAUGUCCCAGGAGGAUGGUUGCAAGGGGAGAGCCAGUUGCGCAGAGCCCUGCAACCAGCAGUCCAGGGAGAAGUGGUGAAUGUCAUGGAGCCCAGCUGAAAUGGACUGGCCCCCUUGAGCCUG
rnacentral:lncRNA from 1 species